ensembl:lncRNA
UGCCAACUUCCCUUUGCCAAUCUCUCAAACCCAUGGUGAUCAUUUGCAUUCUCUGUCCUCACCAGCCAUCUUGCUGUUCCCAUCUGCAUUUUGAAGCCAAACCCCCUGUGACCUGGGGCAGAAGAUCAUGACUGAUCAGUGGUGGCUUCCCAGGAUGAGACACAUCCCUAAGGUCAACAUCUGCACACAAGCAGCAACAUGGCGGUUCCCUCAACCACCAGCAAUGCCUUGUCCCAGGUUCGAGGCAGAAGGAAAUUUUGCUGCAGAUGAAUCCUGAAUAGAACACUUUGAAUUACCGCAGAGCCUUUCCUGGUGAAAUGGCAAAAUGAGCUCUUUUUUUUGUGCCAUCUAUUUGUGCCUCCAAUUUGACAUUUUGGGGACAAAAGAGAGAAAGAAAUGCUGAAUUCCAGAGUGUUGACACUUGCUGCAAGAGACAACCCAGGACAGCAGUGCGUGGGCCACUUUGGAAGAUGGGGACAUGCAUGGGGACCUGGGGCUGCACUGCAGAACCACAAAGGCACCAUCCAGUCCUGCUCUGUCCCACCAGCUCCAUGUUCUGUUCCCAACAAACCAGUGACCAAACCCAGCAGCCACUUUUCACACCAUACUCAUCAGGGUGGGUGCUGUGACUUUUGCUGGGGGUCCUUGAGGAUGCUCUGUUAAAGCAGGAUGUAUCUGACCGUGGAAAUAGAGCAAUACGUUCCCGAUGCAGCAGAGAUCUGGGGAGGCAGCUCUUGGGAAAUGCUUUGCUUCCUUAAACUUCUGUUUGGGAAAAAAAAAAAAAAAGAGCAAAUUCUGAUCUAACAGCAUAAAACUGGAGUCAUUCUACUGCAAACCACAGCUUGACUUUGAAUUAAUAUUGGUGUAAAUUGGAGUAAGAUUUGGCCACAAGACUCAGCUCUCCCCUCAUUCCUGAAAGACACAAACACAAAGCUCUAAACAUUGACAGUUAUGUAUUGCAUAAAAUAUUUCCUGGCUUGGAAAACCUCACGGGACAGCGAUCAGGAACAAGAUGGUGC